rnacentral:rRNA from 1 species
GUGGGGAAUAUUGGACAAUGGGCGCAAGCCUGAUCCAGCCAUGCCGCGUGAGUGAAGAAGGCCCUCGGGUUGUAAAGCUCUUUUGUUGGGAAAGAAAAGCGUACGGUUAAUACCCGUGCGUCAUGACGGUACCCAAAGAAUAAGCACCGGCUAACUUCGUGCCAGCAGCCGCGGUAAUACGAAGGGUGCAAGCGUUACUCGGAAUUACUGGGCGUAAAGCGUGCGUAGGUGGUUCGUUAAGUCUGAUGUGAAAGCCCUGGGCUCAACCUGGGAAUUGCAUUGGAUACUGGCGGGCUAGAGUGCGGUAGAGGAUAGCGGAAUUCCUGGUGUAGCAGUGAAAUGCGUAGAGAUCAGGAGGAACAUCCGUGGCGAAGGCGGCUAUCUGGACCAGCACUGACACUGAGGCACGAAAGCGUGGGGAGCAAACAGGAUUAGAAACCCUAGUAGUCC